rnacentral:rRNA from 1 species
UACAGAGGGGGCAAGCGUUAUUCGGAAUUAUUGGGCGUAAAGGGCGCGUAGGCGGCCUGGCAAGUGGAAGGUGAAAUCCCUCGGCUUAACCGAGGAACUGCCCUCCAAACUGCUUGGCUUGAGUCCGGGAGAGGAGAGUGGAAUUCCUGGUGUAGCGGUGAAAUGCGCAGAUAUCAGGAAGAACACCCGUGGCGAAGGCGGCUCUCUGGAACGCAACUGACGCUGAGACGCGAAAGCGUGGGGAGCAAACAGG